rnacentral:rRNA from 1 species
CAAUAGCGUAUAUUUAAGUUGUUGCAGUUAAAAAGCUCGUAGUCGGAUUUUGGCUGAGAACGAUCGGUCCGCCGUUAGGUGUGCACUGAUUGGUCUCAGCUUCCUGGUGAGGAGGUGUGCUUCACGGCCACUUAGUCGCCGUGGUUACUUUGAAAAAAUUAGAGUGUUCAAAGCGGGCUUACGCUUGAAUAUAUUAGCAUGGAAUAACACCAUAGGACUCCUGUCCUAUUUCGUUGGUCUCGGGACGGGAGUAAUGAUUAAGAGGAACAGUUGGGGGCAUUCGUAUUUCAUUGUCAGAGGUGAAAUUCUUGGAUUUAUGAAAGACGAACUUCUGCGAAAGCAUUUGCCAAGGAUGUUUUCAUUGA